CAAUAGCGUAUAUUAAAGUUGUUGCAGUUAAAAAGCUCGUAGUUGGAUUUCUGGUGGGGGUCGCUGGUCCGCUGCGAAAGCGGCGUGUACCGAUGCGUACCUACCGCCAUCCUCGGGGGGACUGCGUGUGGGAUUAGUUUCUCGUGCGUAUGGACGCCCGUCUUUUACUGUGAAAAAAUUAGAGUGUUCAAAGCAGGCUGAGGCCGUUGAAUACAUUAGCAUGGAAUAAUAAGAUAGGACCUUGGCGGUCUAUUUUGUUGGUUUGCACGCCAAGGUAAUGAUUAAUAGGGAUAGUUGGGGGUAUUCGUAUUCAAUUGUCAGAGGUGAAAUUCUUAGAUUUAUGGAAGACGAACUACUGCGAAAGCAUUUACCAAGGAUGUUUUCAUUAA
rnacentral:rRNA from 1 species